rnacentral:rRNA from 1 species
AACGAACGCUGGCGGCAUGCCUAACACAUGCAAGUCGAACGAGACCUUCGGGUCUAGUGGCGCACGGGUGCGUAACGCGUGGGAACCUGCCUUUAGGUUCGGAAUAACUCAGAGAAAUUUGAGCUAAUACCGGAUGAUGUCUUCGGACCAAAGAUUUAUCGCCUUUAGAUGGGCCCGCGUUGGAUUAGCUAGUUGGUGGGGUAAAGGCCUACCAAGGCGACGAUCCAUAGCUGGUCUGAGAGGAUGAUCCGCCACACUGGGACUGAGACACGGCCCAGACUCCGACGGGAGGCAGCAGUGGGGAAUAUUAGACAAUGGGCGAAAGCCUGAUCCAGCAGUGCCGCGUGAGUGAUGAAGGCCUUAGGGUUGUAAAGCUCUUUUACCCGAGAUGAUAAUGACAGUAUCGGGAGAAUAAGCUCCGGCUAACUCCGUG